UUCCAGUGGAAGCAAACCACCGAAGUUCUCUGUCCUUUGUCGUCUUUAAUUCAUCAGUCGCGAAGAGGAGAGUGGAGAUAGGGGGGCAACGUCACAACGAUUUUCCUGUAUGCUUGUGCCCCUGCUGCGUGUGGCAGCAUUUCCUGUUGGGUGAUGCACACACCUGCUUCUCGGGAGAUUUACGGACAUUGGGAGCUCCUUUUUUCGCCUUGGUGGGAAUGGCUGGGCCUGGAACUUUCUGUGCUGUUUCUAUAAAACCGCCAGACGCUUACUGAACAAUGA